rnacentral:rRNA from 1 species
GACAGAGGCCCCGAGCGUUAGGCGGAAUCACUGGGCUUAAAGCGUGUGUAGGCGGAUCGUUAAGUGUCUUGUGAAAUCCCACGGCUCACCCGUGGAACUGCUGGGCAUACUGGCGAUCUUGGGCCAUUCAGGGGCGACUGGAACAAGCGGUGGAGCGGUGAAAUGCGUAGAUAUCGCUUGGAACGCCGAAGGUGAAAACAG